CAUCUGCGGGCUGAAGGAAUUUUUCUUGGCCGCAUUGUCGAUGAUGAUCUUCAGCACAUGACCGUGUACUUCGGUCCGAACCUGCCCCACAGCAGCCUUUGUCUCACUCACGUUGUUUCCUCCAGAGUUUUCUUGAAUCGAGUUGCCUGACAUUAAAAUCGACGAUCCGCCAUGACGCCGAUGCGCAGUUGCGGAUAAAGCCGGAAUGGCGAGAAUGAAACCGGAUGGUUUUCCGAAUCCAUCCAGGCUUCCUGCAAUA
rnacentral:misc_RNA from 1 species